UGAGUAGCAAAUCUGAAUUCAGCUUUACGGUGCUUUCUUUCCACUCUUCAAAAUUGCAGCUUUGUGGGCUGUCGGGAGAAGAUUAAAAAAGGGGUUACUUCGAUGAAAUUUUGUGCCUCCAUCACGGUUCCUAUUCACUUGAGUCUGAUAAUAGUUACCAUUUUGGCUGUACAAUACUAGCAUACUAGUACAAAAUAGGAUUGAUAGCAUGAAAGGUUUCAAUCAGGUUGAUGCACAGUUUUCUCGAAAUAAUAUGUAGCGAUUAAAUAGGGUUGGGACUAAGGUGCUUACCAUCCGAGCAACUCCCUUUCGUCAUGUCGUUGCAAUUAACUAAUAAGUUUCAUCUCCAAUGUUGAGUCAGCUGAAUUUUCCAACCCUUAUUCUUACUGGUGCCUUCCAUCAGUAAAAAGAUUUAGUACUCUUGUUCUUACUUGGGAAAAUCACUAACCAUACAUAUUACUUUUAUAUAAGACCUCAUAUUAUUCGAUGCAUAGAUACUUUUACUUAUUUACUAAGCAUAAAAAUAAUUUCGAAAUAUAACAUAUUUGGACUUUAAACAUACCCAUGAUUUUAUGCCCAAGUUUUGGAAGAGAAAAUCUGAUUUUUGUAAACUGAUUUCAGUACUCUUCAUUAAAUUUCUUUUUAAUUUCAAAUGUUCCGCUCCGCAAUGUUGUUAUAAGGUGCGAUUUGUCAUGCCCCCAGCCCAGCAGGUGCGAACAAGAAAGAUCUGUGAAAACAGAUAUCGGAGUCAGUACAAAUCUACUAUAGAGUUCACUGUGCAAAAUUGUAUUACUGAUAAACUGUAUAUGUUUAAUAAGCCGUCUGUAUUGACCAACUUGGUCGGGAUAGGCCCCACUUACUCAACUGUAA
rnacentral:lncRNA from 1 species